rnacentral:rRNA from 1 species
UACGUAGGGAGCAAGCGUUGUCCGGAAUCAUUGGGCGUAAAGCGCGUGUAGGCGGCUCGGUAAGUCUGCUGUGAAAGUCCAGGGCUCAACCCUGGGAUGCCGGUGGAUACUGUCGAGCUCGAGUCCGGAAGAGGCGAGUGGAAUUCCUGGUGUAGCGGUGAAAUGCGCAGAUAUCAGGAGGAACACCAAUGGCGAAGGCAGCACUCUGGGACGUGACUGACGCUGAGACGCGAAAGCGUGGGGAGCAAACAGG